rnacentral:rRNA from 1 species
CCUACGUGAGGCAGCAGUGGGGAAUAUUGCACAAUGGGGGAAACCCUGAUGCAGCGACGCAGCGUGAGUGAAGAAGUAUCUCGGUACGUAAAACUCUAUCAGCAGGGAAGAUAAUGAAGGUACGUGACCAAGAAGCCCCGGCUAACUACGUGCCAGCAGCCGCGGUAAUACGUAGGGGGCAAGCGUUAUACGGAUUUACUGGGUGUAAAGGGAGCGUAGACGGCAUCACAGGUCUGGAGUGAAAUCCCGGGGCUUAACCCCGGAACUGCUUUGGAAACUGUGAGGCUGGAGUGCAGGAGGGGUAAGCGGAAUUCCUAGUGUAGCGGUGAAAUGCGUAGAUAUUAGGAGGAACUCCGGUGGCGAAGGCGGCUUACUGGACUGUAACUGACGUUGAUGCUCGAAAGCGUGGGGAGCAAACAGGAUUAGAUACCCUAGUAGUC